AAAAUAAAAAAGGAAAAAGAGAGUGAUGAGUCCCUAAGCAAAAUCCUUGAUUUUGCAUCAAGUGUGUGCACGAGUACAAUAUCCAAUACUAUACUUGACCUGGUACUGCUCUAAUACAAAUAGGAUACUUGCCAAAUAAAAACUAAUGAAUAAUAAAUAUUAUUUCAAAUGCUUGGGGAUACUUUAAAAAUGCCUUCAUAGAUGUAUCCAAAACCUCAUGGAUACAUCAUUACUACAAUUUCGGGUGCAAAUUGAAUUUUACUAAUUAGUUUUGCACAUUUUCAUUCUAUAAUAUCAAAUUAAUAUAAUAAUCCCUCCAUCCCAAAGAGAUUGUCUGGUUUUCUAUUUUGUUUAUCACAAACUGAUUUUCUGAUCAAAACAUUGAGUCAUGCAUUUUCCUAAAAUACCCCUAGUUAUACCCACUUUGUUAAGAGGCAUACAAUAGAGGGUGUUUUAAAAAAGUGUGCUAAAGAAUGGUGAUAUGACAUGUGUCAAUUAAUGAUAGUAGAAAGUCAAACAUGACAAUCCUUUUAGGACAGAGAGUAUGAUUUAUAUAGAUAAUAAAUGAUUUUUUU